UACGAAGGGGGCUAGCGUUGCUCGGAAUGACUGGGCGUAAAGGGCGCGUAGGCGGAUGGUACAGUCAGAUGUGAAAUUCCUGGGCUCAACCUGGGGGCUGCAUUUGAUACGUGCUGUCUUGAGUUCGGAAGAGGGUCGUGGAAUUCCCAGUGUAGAGGUGAAAUUCGUAGAUAUUGGGAAGAACACCGGGUGGCGAAGGCGGCGACCUGGUCCGAUACUGGACGCUGAGGCGCGAAAGCGUGGGGAGCAAACAGG
rnacentral:rRNA from 1 species